GGAUAGAGGCCGCGGGUUUCAUCAGUAUCUGUGCACAGGCUGCCAAGCCGUUUGACGGUGCAGUGAAAGGGAAAUUCGCCGAAGGUGCGCCGCCGGCAGCGGCAGCCUGAUCCGGAACGUGAAUAAUGUCCGGAUUGUCAUCAUACAUAUGGUGGAGAGCUAUCGG
rnacentral:ncRNA from 1 species